UACAGAGGUCCCAAGCGUUGUUCGGAUUUAUUGGGCGUAAAGGGUGCGUAGGUGGCGUCGUAAGUCGGGUGUGAAAUCUCGGGGCUUAACUCCGAAACUGCAUUCGAUACUGCGGUGCUUGAGGACUGGAGAGGAGACUGGAAUUUACGGUGUAGCAGUGAAAUGCGUAGAGAUCGUAAGGAAGACCAGUGGCGAAGGCGGGUCUCUGGAAAGUUCCUGACACUGAGGCACGAAGGCCAGGGGAGCAAACGGG
rnacentral:rRNA from 1 species